CCUACGGGAUGCAGCAGUGGGGAAUAUUGGACAAUGGGCGAAAGCCUGAUCCAGCAAUGCCGCGUGUGUGAAGAAGGUCUUCAGAUUGUAAAGCGCUUUCGACGGGGACGAUGAUGACGGUACCCGUAGAAGGAGCCCCGGCUAACUUCGUGCCAGCAGCUGCGGUAAUACGAAGGGGGCUAGCGUUGCUCGGAAUGACUGGGCGUAAAGGGCGCGUAGGCGGUUUAUGCAGUCAGAUGUGAAAUCCCCGGGCUUAACCUGGGAACUGCAUUUGAGACGCAUAGACUAGAGGUCGAGAGAGGGUUGUGGAAUCCCCAGUGUAGAGGUGAAAUUCGUAGAUAUUGGGAAGAACACCGGUGGCGAAGGCGGCAACCUGGUUCGAUACUGACGCUGAGGCGCGAAAGCGUGGGGAGCAAACAGGAUUAGAUACCCGAGUAGUC
rnacentral:rRNA from 1 species